rnacentral:lncRNA from 1 species
UUCAGUUUAGCUGUUUUGUAAACACUGUGUGGAUUAAUGAAUGGUUUUCUACCCCUCGUGCUAGCUCGUUUUCAAAGAAAAUGAAAGGUUUCCUUGUGGGAAACAGUUUUAAAAAGGUUUUCUCGACUUUUCGUGAUUUUAGUAUUUCAAAAAUGAAUUUUCGAGUGGAAAACAUUUUCAACUAAUAAUUGUGGAAUGUUGUGAAUAUUCUGAACGUACUGUUGUGAUUGGUUGUGGUUGUGACUUCUACUAUGCACGACGCCAUGCAAAUACAAAGGAGACUCUGUCCGUGUGAACAGUGAAUUCUCUGU